UACGUAGGUGGCGAGCGUUAUCCGGAAUUAUUGGGCGUAAAGAGCGCGCAGAUGGUUAAUUAAGUCUGAUGUGAAAGCCCACGGCUUAACCGUGGAGGGUCAUUGGAAACUGGUUGACUUGAGUGCAGAAGAGGGAAGUGGAAUUCCAUGUGUAGCGGUGAAAUGCGUAGAGAUAUGGAGGAACACCAGUGGCGAAGGCGGCUUCCUGGUCUGCAACUGACACUGAGGCGCGAAAGCGUGGGGAGCAAACAGG
rnacentral:rRNA from 1 species